AUUGAACGCUGGCGGAAUGCUUUACACAUGCAAGUCGAACGGCAGCACGGGGCAACCUGGUGGCGAGUGGCGAACGGGUGAGUAAUACAUCGGAACGUGCCCAAUCGCGGGGGAUAACGUAGCGAAAGUUACGCUAAUACCGCAUACGCUCUACGGAUGAAAGCGGGGGAUCGCAAGACCCCGCGCGAAUGUAGCGGCCGAUGUCAGAUAGGUAGUUGGUGGGGUAAAGGCUCACCAAGCCAACGAUCUGUAGCUGGUCUGAGGGGACGACCAGCCACACUGGGACUGAGACACGGCCCAGACUCCUACGGGAGGCAGCAGUGGGAAAUUUUGGACAAUGGGCGCAAGCCUGAUCCAGCCAUUCCGCGUGCAGGAUGAAGGCCUUCGGGUUGUAAACUGCUUUUGUACGGAACGAAACAGCUCUCUCUAAUACAGGGGGCUAAUGACGGUACCGUAAGAAUAAGCACCGGCUAACUACGUGCCAGCCGCCGCGGUAAAAC
rnacentral:rRNA from 1 species